rnacentral:rRNA from 1 species
UCGUGAGAUGUUGGGUUAAGUCCNGCAACGAGCGCAACCCCUAUCUUUAGUUGCCAUCAGGUUGGGNUGGGCACUCUAGAGAGACUGCCGGUGACAAGCCGGAGGAAGGUGGGGAUGACGUCAAGUCCUCAUGGCCCUUAUGUCCUGGGCUACACACGUGCUACAAUGGCGGUGACAGUGGGAAGCUAGGUGGUGACACCAUGCUGAUCUCUAAAAGCCGUCUCAGUUCGGAUUGCACUCUGCAACUCGAGUGCAUGAAGGUGGAAUCGCUAGUAAUCGCGGAUCAGCAUGCCGCGGUGAAUACGUUCCCGGGUCUUGUACACAC